UUCCGGUUGAUCCCGCCGGAACCCCACUGCUAUCGGAUAGGACUUAAGACAUGCUAGUCAAGCGCUUUCUAGCUAUAUGAAAGUGCGGCAUACAGCUCAGUAACACGUGGCUAACCUGCCCUUGGGACGGAGACACCCCCGGGAAACUGGGGUUAAUUUCCGAUAGGUGAAAAAUUCUGGAAUGAAUUUUCGCUCAAAAGAGGUUUAUGUUAUGCUCAUAUUCUUCGCCCAGGGAUGGGGCCGCGACCGAUCAGGUUGUUGGUGAGGUAAUGGCUCACCAAGCCUUUUACCGGUACGGGCCGUGAGAGCGGGAGCCCGGAGAUGGGCACUGAGACAAGGGCCCAGGCCCUACGGGGCGCAGCAGUCGCGAAAACUUUGCAAUACACGAAAGUGUGACAAGGCUAUCCCGAGUGCCAUCCGCUGAGGAAGGCUUUUACCCAGUAUAAAUAGCUGGGAGAAUAAGGAGAGGGCAAGUCUGGUGUCAGCCGCCGCGGUAAUACCAGCUCUCCGAGUAGUGUGGAUGUUUAUUGGGCCUAAAGCAUCCGUAGCUUGCUAGGCAAGUCCCCUGUUAAAUCCACCGAUUCAAUCGAUGGUUUGCGGGGGAUACUGUUUGGCUAGGGGACGGGAGAGGUCGACGGUAUUUCCGGGGUAGGGGUGAAAUCCUAUAAUCCCGGGAGGACCACCAGUGGCGAAGGCUGUCGACUAGAACGCGCCCGACGGUGAGGGAUGAAAGCUGGGGGAGCGAACCGGAUUAGAUACCCGGGUAGUCCCAGCUGUAAACGAUGCAGGCUAGGUGUUUGGGCGGCCACGAGCCGCCCUAGUGCCGCAGGGAAGCUGUUAAGCCUGCCGCCUGGGGAGUACGGCCGCAAGGCUGAAACUUAAAGGAAUUGGCGGGGGAGCACCACAAGGGGUGAAGCUUGCGGUUUAAUUGGAGUCAACGCCGGA
rnacentral:rRNA from 1 species